AACGGAGGGUGCAAGCGUUGUUCGGAAUCAUUGGGCGUAAAGGGCGCGUAGGUGGUCCUGCAAGUCCGGUGUGAAAGCCCGGGGCUCAACUCCGGAAUCGCAUCGGAAACUGCAGGACUUGAGUCCGGGAGAGGUCCGUGGAAUUCCUGGUGUAGGGGUGAAAUCCGUAGAUAUCAGGAGGAACACCAGCAGCGAAAGCGACGGACUGGACCGGAACUGACACUGAGGCGCGAAAGCACGGGUAGCGAACAGG
rnacentral:misc_RNA from 1 species